rnacentral:rRNA from 1 species
GACGAACGCUGGCGGCGUGCUUAACACAUGCCAGUCGAACGGAAAGGCCCCUUUGGGGGUACUCGAGUGGCGAACGGGUGAGUAACACGUGAGUAACCUGCCCUUGACUUCGUGAUAACUUCAGGAAACUGGGGCUAAUACCGGAUAGGAAUCCUUGCUGCAUGGUGGGGGUUGGAAAGCUUCGGCGGUUUUGGAUGGACUCGCGGCUUAUCAGCUUGUUGGUGGGGUAGUGGCUUACCAAGGCUUUGACGGGUAGCCGGCCUGAGAGGGCGACCGGCCACAUUGGGACUGAGAUACGGCCCAGACUCCUACGGGAGGCAGCAGUGGGGAAUAUUGCACAAUGGGCGGAAGCCUGAUGCAGCAACGCCGCGUGCGGGAUGACGGCCUUCGGGUUGUAAACCGCUUUCAGCAGGGGCGAAGCUUGUGGUGACGGUACCUGCAGAAGAAGCACCGGCAAACUACGU